GACGAACGCUGGCGGCGUGCUUAACACAUGCAAGUCGAACGGAAAGGCCCUGCUUUUGUGGGGUGCUCGAGUGGCGAACGGGUGAGUAACACGUGAGUAACCUGCCCUUGACUUUGGGAUAACUUCAGGAAACUGGGGCUAAUACCGGAUAGGAGCUCCUGCUGCAUGGUGGGGGUUGGAAAGUUUCGGCGGUUGGGGAUGGACUCGCGGCUUAUCAGCUUGUUGGUGGGGUAGUGGCUUACCAAGGCUUUGACGGGUAGCCGGCCUGAGAGGGUGACCGGCCAACUUGGGACUGAGAUACGGCCCAGACUCCUACGGGAGGCAGGAGUGGGGAAUAUUGCACAAUGGGCGGAAGCCUGAUGCAGCAACGCCGCGUGCGGGAUGACGGCCUUCGGGUUGUAAACCGCUUUCGCCUGUGACGAAGCGUGAGUGACGGUAAUGGGUAAAGAAGCACCGGCUAACUACGUG
rnacentral:rRNA from 1 species